rnacentral:rRNA from 1 species
UACGUAGGGGCCUAGCGUUGUCCGGAAUUAUUGGGCGUAAAGAGCUCGUAGGCGGUUCGGCAAGUCGGAUGUGAAAUCUCCACGCUUAACGUGGAGGGCCAUUCGAAACUGCUGUGACUCGAGUCCGGUAGGGGAGUGUGGAAUUCCCGGUGUAGCGGUGAAAUGCGCAGAUAAUCGGGAGGAACACCAGUAGCGAAGGCGGCACUCUGGGCCGGUACUGACGCUGAGGAGCGAAAG